rnacentral:rRNA from 1 species
UACGUAGGGGGCUAGCGUUGUCCGGAAUCAUUGGGCGUAAAGAGCGUGUAGGCGGCCCGGUAAGUCCGCUGUGAAAGUCGGGGGCUCAACCCUCGAAUGCCGGUGGAUACUGUCGGGCUAGAGUGCGGAAGAGGCGAGUGGAAUUCCUGGUGUAGCGGUGAAAUGCGCAGAUAUCAGGAGGAACACCGAUGGCGAAGGCAGCUUGCUGGGACGGUACUGACGCUGAGACGCGAAAGCGUGGGGAGCAAACAGG